rnacentral:rRNA from 1 species
UCGAGCGCAAGGAGCAAGUUGAUCCCCUUCGGGGGUGACGCUUGUGGAAUGAGCGGCGGACGGGUGAGUAACACGUGGGCAACCUGCCUGUAAGACUGGGAUAACCCCGGGAAACCGGGGCUAAUACCGGAUAAUACUUUCUUUUGCAUAAAGGAAAGUUGAAAGGCGGCUUCGGCUGUCACUUACAGAUGGGCCCGCGGCGCAUUAGCUAGUUGGUGAGGUAACGGCUCACCAAGGCGACGAUGCGUAGCCGACCUGAGAGGGUGAUCGGCCACACUGGGACUGAGACACGGCCCAGACUCCUACGGGAGGCAGCAGUAGGGAAUCUUCCGCAAUGGACGAAAGUCUGACGGAGCAACGCCGCGUGAGUGAUGAAGGUUUUCGGAUCGUAAAACUCUGUUGUUAGGGAAGAACAAGUUGGGUAGUAACUGACCCAACCUUGACGGUACCUAACCAGAAAGCCACGGCU